rnacentral:misc_RNA from 1 species
GAUGAAGAACGUAGCGAAAUGCGAUAAGUAAUGUGAAUUGCAGAUUUCAGUGAAUCAUCGAAUCUUUGAACGCACCUUGCGCCUUGUGGUAUUCCACAAGGCAUGCCCGUUUGAGUAUCAUUAAAUCAUCAACUCUAAAACCUUUGUGGUUUUUUUUAGAGCUUGGUCUUGAGGGUUUUGCAGGCUUUUUUUUUUUUUUCGAUUCUGCUCCCUUUAAAUGCCUUAGCGAGACUUCCCUAUGCUGAACCGUCUCUUUGACGUGAUAAUUAUCUGCGUCGAAUUUUGGUUCUCGUUGGGCUUGCUUCUAAUCGUCUGUUAAAGACAAAACGGAUUUGGGUGCAUAUAUGCGCCUUUUUCCAAAACCUUUUUUUGAUCUCAAAUCGGGUAGGACUACCCGCUGAACUUAAGCAUAUCAAUAAGCGGAGGA